GUCGGCUACGGUGACAUAUGUCCGACGACCGCGUUAGGGAAAGUUAUCGGGAGCGUUUGUUGCAUUUGUGGCGUUUUGGUCAUCGCUCUGCCCAUUCCAAUUAUUGUUAAUAAU
rfam:Pediculus humanus corporis strain TSDA 1103172085663, whole genome shotgun sequence.